rnacentral:rRNA from 1 species
UACAGAGGGUGCAAGCGUUUAAUCGGAAUUACUGGGCGUAAAGCGUGCGCAGACGGUUGCGUAAGUCAGAUGUGAAAGCCCCGGGCUCAACCUGGGAAUUGCAUUUGAGACUGCGUAGCUAGGGUGCGGAAGAGGGAAGCGGAAUUUCCGGUGUAGCGGUGAAUGACGUAGAUAUCGGAAGGAACACCAGUGGCGAAAGCGGCUUCCUGGUCCAGCACCGACGUCAGGCACGAAAGCGUGGGGAGCAAACAGG